rnacentral:rRNA from 1 species
UGAUACAUUUUCAAAGAGUCAGGUUGUUUGGGAAUGCAGCCUAAAUAGGGAGGUAAAUCUCUCCUAAAGCUAAAUAUUUGCGAGAGACCGAUAGCGAACAAGUACCGUGAGGGAAAGAUGAAAAGAACUUUGAAAAGAGAGUUAAACAGUAUGUGAAAUUGUUAAAAGGGAACCGUUUGGAGCCAGACUGGCUUGACUGUAAUCAAUCUAGAUCCUUCUGGAUGCACUUGCAGUUUAUGCCUGCCAACGACAAUUUUUUUUGGGAGAAAAAACUGGGAGGAAUGUGGCCCCUCGGGGUGUUAUAGCUUCUUAGAAUAUCCUGGAUUGGAUUGAGGAUCGCAGUGAAUGCCUUUAGGCAAGAUUGCUGGGUGCUUUUGUUGAUAAAUGCUAGAAUUUCUGCUUCAGGUGGUGCUAGUGUUUAAAGGUAAAACUCGCCUGGUAUAUUUUUUAUUCGCUUAGGUUGUUGGCUUAAUGACUCUAAAUGACCCGUCUUGAAACACGGACCAAGGAGUCCACCAUAAGUGCAAGUAUUUGGGUGCCAAACCCAUAUGCGUAAGGAAACUGAUUGAUACCAAGU